rnacentral:lncRNA from 1 species
AGACACCAGAGCUGUCCCUCUCUCGGCUUGCACUAAGGAGGAGGUCACGUGAGCACACAGUGAGAAGGCGGAGGACCAUCUGCAAGCAGGAAGAGAGCCCUCGCUAGAACCCCCCAUGGUGGCACCUGAUAGUGGACUUCUAGCUUCCGGAACUGAACUCAUAAAUGUCACAUCAGGCUGCCUCUUGGUGAAUUUUUAAUCAAGGGGGAGAAUUUCAGCUACAAAUAGACCAAGAAUCAAGAGGCCCGCUAUUGAUCGCUCAAAGUGGCACUUAUGAACCUGAGGUUGAAGCAGUUUGGAUAAAAGGAUUCUGGGCUUUCUAUGGCCCCACAGACAUCUUUUUCCAUCAAGUCCAGGCUUGCUGAUGGGUGCAGCUGAGAACAUGUCGAAUUUGAUGUGCCUGUGGAUACUUGAGUCUGGAACACUGAAGACAAGUUUGGUCUGGAGAUGUAGACUGGGGAUAUCUCAGCACACAGAUGAUCACUGAAACGAUGCAGCGGAUGAUAUAACCUGGAGAGAGUCUGGUGUGGGAAGAGUCUUCCCUGAGGUGGCUGAAAGAUGUAAUUCUUACU